rnacentral:rRNA from 1 species
UACGGAGGGUGCGAGCGUUAAUCGGAAUUACUGGGCGUAAAGAGUGCGUAGGUGGUUAAUUAAGUUAUCUAUGAAAUCCCUGGGCUUAACCUGGGCAGGUCAGAUGAUACUGAUUGACUCGAGUAUGGGAGAGGGUAGUGGAAUUUCCGGUGUAGCGGUGAAAUGCGUAGAGAUCGGGAAGGAACACCAGUGGCGAAGGCGGCUACCUGGCCUAAUACUGACACUGAGGCACGGAAAGCGUGGGGAGCAAACAGG